UAAUAUCGGCGUCGUUACCGUCGUGCUGCCCACAAAAGGCAUUCCGCUGCCGUUCCUUAGUGCCGGUGGGACCAGCAUGUUGCUUUCCUCUGCGGCGGUUGGGGUCCUGCUGAGUAUCGCCGCCCGGACACCGUCGCGAGGCCUCGCGGUAACCACCAGUACUGACUAAUACUUAGACAAUAUCGGACCUCGAAUGCUUCCUCGCGAUUGUCCCUUGCGGGCUUUGCGCGUGAUUUUUCCACCGCUUUUUGCUACAAUAGGGGCCCGUGCGGG
rnacentral:rRNA from 1 species